rnacentral:rRNA from 2 species
ACGCUGUGGACUUGGUGUUGGGGAUUCUACGAGUAUCCCCAGUGCCGGAGUGAAGAUGUUAAGUCCACUGCCUGGGGAGUACGGUCGCAAGGCUGAAACUUAAAGGAAUUGGCGGGGGAGCACAGCAACGAGAGGAGCGUGCGGUUUAAUUGGAUUCAACGCCGGAAAACUCACCAGUGCCGACGGACAUAUGAAGAUCAGCGUGAUGAGCUUAUUGGAUUGUUCGAGAGGUAGUGCAUGGCCGUCGUCAGUUCGUACCGUAAGGCGUUCUGUUAAGUCAGAUAACGAACGAGACCCCUAUCGUCUAUUUGCUAAACGGAUCUCCGGAUUCGUCGCACUAUAGCGAGACCGCUGGCGUGAAGUCAGAGGAAGGUGGGGGCAACGACAGGUCAGUAUGCUCCGAAUGCACUGGGCUACACGCGCGCUACAAAGGCCAGGACAAUGGGUCUGCCACGCCGAGAGGCGGCGCUAUCCCGAAACCUGGUCGUAGUUCGGAUCGAGGGCUGUAAUUCGCCCUCGUGAAGCUGGAUUUCGUAGUAAUCGCGUCUCAAAAUGGCGCGGUGAAUAUGCCCCUGCUCCUUGCACACACCGCCCGUCAAACCAUCUUAGUUGGGGGUGGGUGAGGCUACCUUAUCUUGGGGUAUUCGAGCCUGCCUUCGACAAGGAGGGUUAAGUCGUAACAAGGUAUCUGUAGGGGAACCUGCAGAUGGAUCACCUCCUUU